GUCGCUGUGGCUGGUUCUGCGGUGUGCGGCCAGCCAUGGAGCGCUCUGGGCCCAGCGAAGUGACAGGCUCAGACGCAUCGGGACCGGACCCGCAGCUUGUGGUCACCAUGGGCUUCACGGGGUUCGGGGUUCGGUAAAAAAGCUCACACAUUUGACUUGGAAGCAAUGUUUGAACAAACUCAAAGAACAGCUGUGGAAAGAAGUCACAAAACACUGGGCCACCAGGAACACACCUGUAGCCCAGCAAAGUUGAGGCCAUCGACUGGCUCAUCACAACAAGGAAGGCUGUGCACCACUGGGACCCAGCAGCAGCUCAGCAGCAGCAGUGAGAGGGCCUUGGGAAAGACUUGGAGGGUUUGGCUUAUACAAGACCAGAUUACAGAGGGGUAUUGAUUUGCCUUGCCCCCGCCCCCACCAUCACAGUGUGUCCCUGUCCAGUGUUGGUGCUGUGUGGCAUUGCUUGUGUCCAUAGGAGUCCAUCAAGGCAGAGCGGCAGAGCGGCAAGCAGAGCGGCAAGGCAGGUCAGCUUCCGGCUCUUCCAGGCUGCAUGUCCCCCUCAAUAUCCUUUCAACCCAAUGGAAAUGGAUUGAAAGAGUGAAAGUCACUGGUCUCAAAGAAUCUACGGAAUUUAGCAUUUUGAAAAUCACAGAGCAAUUUUGGGUAGGUAUUCACAUGCACUAAAAAACCAGGCAAACAUCUGACUCCCAGGAUAAAGUGACUGAGAGCAGUAGAAGACUUGUUGAGCCUUAAGGAAUAAGAGGAAAAUUAUGUUAUGAAGUGCAGGAACAGCACAGACCCAGACGAGGGGAUGCAGCCCGGAGCCAGUAACCCGGCGCCUCCUCCUCCCCAGGGCGCAGCGCUGGCUGCUCCCCGGAUACCGUGAUCACACGUCCCAGGUCCUGAGAGCGCCUCAUAGGUAGACAGUUCUUUGGGACUUUUGGGACGCAGCACUUGAAGAGAGGUUUACCUAAACUUUCCUCCUGGGAGCCUGUCAUCAUUUGAAAGUAACAGAAGAAAGCUGUCAGGCUGAGGAAAGUUUCAACAGGCACUUGGUGAGAAUGGGAAGCAUCCAUUCAUUGGGAAAUCACGGGGACAGAGGAGGAAUUCACGGGAUCAGAGCACUGAGAAACUCCAGAGGCUUCUGGUUCACCGCCCUGAUUCCACAGAUGUGGGUCAGAGGCAGAGAUGGAAGUUGGAAUGGACAAGCCUGCCCUCUCCUCAGCUCUCCAUGGCUCUGUCCUCAGGCUGUUUCUGCAAUUUGACAUGAGGCCUGGCCCCAGGGAAACCAGUGGGGCCUCAUCUCCUCCCUGUGCUGCUCUGAGGUGGAGCCUUCUCAGGGUCAGUCCAGCUCUGGAGCCCCUCUCCAGCUCGGUCACCAAAGCUGUCUGGUCCCAGGGCAGUGUGGAGUGACAGGCACGCCAGCCAAUCCAAUCGGCCAUUUCAUACCCAAUGCAUGUGACUGAUAAAGAGAUAACACCCUGUCUCCAAGACACAGGCUUUACAUAAACAGCUUUAAUGACUUCUUCACUUAGGGACAAGACUCCUUAGUGGUGGAACCUCAGGCAUCCAUGCAGGAUGUAAGAAAGCUCCCGUAUAUACAUGAACUGAGAAGUGUGUAGAAGAGUAAAUACUGUAAUAGGUAAUAAAAUGUAUGUAUUUUUAUUUA
rnacentral:lncRNA from 1 species